GUGGGUAGUUUGACUGGGGCGGUCUCCUCCUAAAGAGUAACGGAGGAGCACGAAGGUUAGCUAAUCCUGGUCGGACAUCAGGAGGUUAGUGCAAAGGCAUAAGCUAGCUUGACUGCGAGAGUGACGGCUCGAGCAGGUGCGAAAGCAGGUCUUAGUGAUCCGGUGGUUCUGAAUGGAAGGGCCAUCGCUCAACGGAUAAAAGGUACUCCGGGGAUAACAGGCUGAUACCGCCCAAGAGUUCAUAUCGACGGCGGUGUUUGGCACCUCGAUGUCGGCUCAUCACAUCCUGGGGCUGAAGUAGGUCCCAAGGGUAUGGCUGUUCGCCAUUUAAAGUGGUACGCGAGCUGGGUUUAGAACGUCGUGAGACAGUUCGGUCCCUAUCUGCCGUGGGCGCUGGAGAAUUGAGGGGGGCUGCUCCUAGUACGAGAGGACCGGAGUGGACGCAUCACUGGUGUUCGGGUUGUCAUGCCAAUGGCAUUGCCCGGUAGCUAAAUGCGGAAGAGAUAAGUGCUGAAAGCAUCUAAGCACGAAACUUGCCCCG
rnacentral:rRNA from 1 species